UACAGAGGUCUCAAGCGUUGUUCGGAUUCAUUGGGCGUAAAGGGUGCGUAGGCGGCGCGGUAAGUCGGGUGUGAAAUCUCGGAGCUUAACUCCGAAACUGCAUUCGAUACUGCCGUGCUUGAGGACUGGAGAGGAGACUGGAAUUUACGGUGUAGCGGUGAAAUGCGUAGAUAUCUGGAGGAACACCGGUGGCGAAGGCGGCGUUCUGGACUGUAACUGACACUGAGAAACGAAAGCCAGGGUAGCAAACGGG
rnacentral:rRNA from 1 species